GGGUUGUGAGGUUAAGCGACUAAGCGUACACGGUGGAUGCCCUGGCAGUCAGAGGCGAUGAAGGACGUGCUAAUCUGCGAAAAGCGCCGGCGAGGUGAUAUGAACCUCUGACCCGGCGAUGUCCGAAUGGGGAAACCCAGUGUGUUCCGACACACUAUCGUUAACUGAAUACAUAGGUUAACGAGGCGAACCGGGGGAACUGAAACAUCUAAGUACCCCGAGGAAAAGAAAUCAACCGAGAUUCCCCCAGUAGCGGCGAGCGAACGGGGAGCAGCCCAGAGUCUGAAUCAGCUUGUGUGUUAGUGGAAGCGUCUGGAAAGUCGCACGGUACAGGGUGACAGUCCCGUACACGAAAGCACACAGGCUGUGAACUCGAAGAGUAGGGCGGGACACGUGGUAUCCUGUCUGAAUAUGGGGGGACCAUCCUCCAAGGCUAAAUACUCCUGACUGACCGAUAGUGAACCAGUACCGUGAGGGAAAGGCGAAAAGAACCCCGGCGAGGGGAGUGAAAAAGAACCUGAAACCGUGUACGUACAAGCAGUGGGAGCCUCUUUAUGGGGUGACUGCGUACCUUUUGUAUAAUGGGUCAGCGACUUAUAUUCUGUAGCAAGGUUAACCGUAUAGGGGAGCCGAAGGGAAACCGAGUCUUAACUGGGCGUUAAGUUGCAGGGUAUAGACCCGAAACCCGGUGAUCUAGCCAUGGGCAGGUUGAAGGUUGGGUAACACUAACUGGAGGACCGAACCGACUAAUGUUGAAAAAUUAGCGGAUGACUUGUGGCUGGGGGUGAAAGGCCAAUCAAACCGGGAGAUAGCUGGUUCUCCCCGAAAGCUAUUUAGGUAGCGCCUCGUGAACUCAUCUUCGGGGGUAGAGCACUGUUUCGGCUAGGGGGCCAUCCCGGCUUACCAACCCGAUGCAAACUACGAAUACCGAAGAAUGUUAUCACGGGAGACACACGGCGGGUGCUAACGUCCGUCGUGAAGAGGGAAACAACCCAGACCGCCAGCUAAGGUCCCAAAGUCAUGGUUAAGUGGGAAACGAUGUGGGAAGGCACAGACAGCCAGGAUGUUGGCUUAGAAGCAGCCAUCAUUUAAAGAAAGCGUAAUAGCUCACUGGUCGAGUCGGCCUGCGCGGAAGAUGUAACGGGGCUAAACCAUGCACCGAAGCUGCGGCAGCGACGCUUAUGCGUUGUUGGGUAGGGGAGCGUUCUGUAAGCCGUUGAAGGUGUCCUGUGAGGGGUGCUGGAGGUAUCAGAAGUGCGAAUGCUGACAUAAGUAACGAUAAAGCGGGUGAAAAGCCCGCUCGCCGGAAGACCAAGGGUUCCUGUCCAACGUUAAUCGGGGCAGGGUGAGUCGACCCCUAAGGCGAGGCCGAAAGGCGUAGUCGAUGGGAAACAGGUUAAUAUUCCUGUACUUGGUGUUACUGCGAAGGGGGGACGGAGAAGGCUAUGUUAGCCGGGCGACGGUUGUCCCGGUUUAAGCAUGUAGGCGGAGGUUCCAGGUAAAUCCGGUUCCUUGUUAACGCUGAGGUGUGAUGACGAGGCACUACGGUGCUGAAGUAACAAAUGCCCUGCUUCCAGGAAAAGCCUCUAAGCAUCAGGUAACAUCAAAUCGUACCCCAAACCGACACAGGUGGUCAGGUAGAGAAUACCAAGGCGCUUGAGAGAACUCGGGUGAAGGAACUAGGCAAAAUGGUGCCGUAACUUCGGGAGAAGGCACGCUGAUAUGUAGGUGAAGCCCCUGCGGGUGGAGCUGAAAUCAGUCGAAGAUACCAGCUGGCUGCAACUGUUUAUUAAAAACACAGCACUGUGCAAACACGAAAGUGGACGUAUACGGUGUGACGCCUGCCCGGUGCCGGAAGGUUAAUUGAUGGGGUUAGCGGUAACGCGAAGCUCUUGAUCGAAGCCCCGGUAAACGGCGGCCGUAACUAUAACGGUCCUAAGGUAGCGAAAUUCCUUGUCGGGUAAGUUCCGACCUGCACGAAUGGCGUAAUGAUGGCCAGGCUGUCUCCACCCGAGACUCAGUGAAAUUGAACUCGCUGUGAAGAUGCAGUGUACCCGCGGCAAGACGGAAAGACCCCGUGAACCUUUACUAUAGCUUGACACUGAACACUGGUCCUUGAUGUGUAGGAUAGGUGGGAGGCUUUGAAGCGUGGACGCCAGUCUGCGUGGAGCCAACCUUGAAAUACCACCCUUUAAUGGCUGGUGUUCUAACGUAGACCCGUAAUCCGGGUUGCGGACAGUGUCUGGUGGGUAGUUUGACUGGGGCGGUCUCCUCCCAAAGAGUAACGGAGGAGCACGAAGGUUAGCUAAUCCUGGUCGGACAUCAGGAGGUUAGUGCAAUGGCAUAAGCUAGCUUGACUGCGAGAGUGACGGCUCGAGCAGGUGCGAAAGCAGGUCAUAGUGAUCCGGUGGUUCUGAAUGGAAGGGCCAUCGCUCAACGGAUAAAAGGUACUCCGGGGAUAACAGGCUGAUACCGCCCAAGAGUUCAUAUCGACGGCGGUGUUUGGCACCUCGAUGUCGGCUCAUCACAUCCUGGGGCUGAAGUAGGUCCCAAGGGUAUGGCUGUUCGCCAUUUAAAGUGGUACGCGAGCUGGGUUUAGAACGUCGUGAGACAGUUCGGUCCCUAUCUGCCGUGGGCGCUGGAGAAUUGAGGGGGGCUGCUCCUAGUACGAGAGGACCGGAGUGGACGCAUCACUGGUGUUCGGGUUGUCAUGCCAAUGGCACUGCCCGGUAGCUAAAUGCGGAAGAGAUAAGUGCUGAAAGCAUCUAAGCACGAAACUUGCCCCGAGAUGAGUUCUCCCUGAGACUUUAAGUCUCCUGAAGGAACGUUGAAGACUACGACGUUGAUAGGUCGGGUGUGUAAGCGCAGCGAUGCGUUGAGCUAACCGAUACUAAUGAACCGUGAGGCUUAACCUUACAACGCCGAAGGUGUUU
rnacentral:rRNA from 2 species